UACAGAGGUCUCAAGCGUUGUUCGGAUUCAUUGGGCGUAAAGGGCGCGUAGGCUGCGGGGCAAGUCGGGUGUGAAAUCUCAGAGCUCAACUCCGAAACUGCAUUCGAUACUGCCGUGCUUGAGGACUGGAGAGGAGACUGGAAUUUACGGUGUAGCGGUGAAAUGCGUAGAUAUCAGGAGGAACACCGGUGGCGAAGGCGGCUUGCUGGGCCAGUUCUGACGCUGAGGAGCGAAAGCGUGGGGAGCGAACAGG
rnacentral:rRNA from 1 species